UACGUAGGGUGCAAGCGUUAAUCGGAAUUACUGGGCGUAAAGCGUGCGCAGGCGGUUGUGCAAGACAGAUGUGAAAUCCCCGGGCUCAACCUGGGAAUUGCAUUUGUGACUGCACGGCUAGAGUGUGUCAGAGGGGGGUAGAAUUCCACGUGUAGCAGUGAAAUGCGUAGAGAUGUGGAGGAAUACCGAUGACGAAGGCAGCCCCCUGGGAUAACACUGACGCUCAUGCACGAAAGCGUGGGGAGCAACAGG
rnacentral:rRNA from 1 species